AGCUCUAAAAACAUUUAAUCAAGUUUGUGCGAACUGUCUCCCACUCACAAAACAGUGCGAAGGACUUUACAUUGGCACUCAUUGUAUUUGUGUGGCUGGAUAAUAGAAUAUAGCAGCCAUGCCGGGUAAAGAUCCUAAUAAGCCGAAGGGAAAGACUUCUUCCUAUGCGUUCUUUGUUGCGACGUGCCGGGAAGAACACAAGAAAAAACACCCAGGAACUUCAGUGAACUUUUCCGAGUUCUCAAAGAAAUGCUCAGAGAGGUGGAGGACAAUGUCUGCAAAAGAGAAGGUGAAGUUUGAGGACAUGGCCAAGGGUGACAAAGUCCGUUAUGACAAGGACAUGAAGGGUUAUGUGCCCCCAAGGGAUCUAAGGCAGCAGGAAAGAGAAAGAAGGACCCCAAUGCCCCCAAAGGCCACCUUCUGCAUUUUUUUGUGUUCUGUGCUGAACACCGUGGAAGAAUCAAGGCUGAUAACCCAGGCAUGGGCAUUGGUGACAUCGCCAAGCAGCUGGGUCUGCUGUGGGGCAAGCAGACUCCCAAAGACAAGCAGCCACACGAAGCAAAGGCCGCCAAGCUGAAGGAAAAGUAUGAGAAGGAUGUUGCUGCCUACAAGGCUAAGGGAGGCGCAGGUGCAACUGCUAAGAGUGGCCCUGGCAGGCCAGCUGUUGGCAAGAAGGCAGCGCCCAUGGAUGAUGAUGACGAUGAUGAUGACGAAGAGGAGGAGGAUGAUGAGGAAGAGGAUGAUGACGAGGAUGACGACUAAACUGCCUGGAAACUUGAGCUGGAGUAUUUGCAAAACAAUGUGAACCUUACAAUGUAACAUUUAUAGCAUUUUGGAUUUUUCAGAACAUGUACAGUGAUGUGCAAUGGCUGCAAUAAUGCAUACAGGGGUCAUAUUGUGCUGUCUUGUGAAUGAACAGCUCUUAUUCUCAAAGCACUGCUUGUUUUGUCUUUGGAUGGUGGCAUGUUCUUUUCCGCCCUAUAUUGAUAUCGUUUCCACUGCCGUUUUUAAGAAAUACAAGAAAAUGUGUAGACGUUUGCGACCCAUUUUUAACGUGGAGUUUCAGUGUAGAAUGAUUUCUUUUUAUAAUAAAAUUUUGUUUUGUAUAUUAUGAUUAACUUCCUUGCCUUGUUGAUGACAAGUUAGAUUAGGGAUGUGAUUAGACAACUAGUCCAAUUCAGGUUUUUUUUUUUUUCACACCCCACUAACUGGUCUUUCAGAGCUGAUCAUUUAAAAGCCCGCUUGGCAGGGGAAAAAAAUCUGAAUUGGCUGUGUAAAAGCCAAAUGUACUCCAUGUUGGUUAGCUAAUAGUUUCAAGGUAGUGACCUAUUCAAUUGCACUAAAACUUCAAUGAUAUAGCUUAAUACUCAGGCAAUUCAUGAAGUAUACUGAACAAAAUAAAUGCAACAUGUUGGGUUUCAUGAGCUGAAAUAAAAGCUCAUUUUCUGUGUAUUUCUAUUUACCCAUUUAGGGAGCAUAUUAAACAAUACAUUAAAGGCC